rnacentral:lncRNA from 1 species
GUCCCGAUCAACAAUCCAUUCAAAUUCGAUGUCGCACAAAGCAACAAAAGUGGUACCCGGAAGCUUCUCAGAGAAUAGAAAUAUAGAAUACAAAGUUUUGUGUGAAACUCAAGAAGUUAAUUAGCAAGAACAAAAUAGAAUAGAAAAAUACAAAAAAAAAAUGAGUUUUUUAAUCUUAUUUAUUUAAUAUGAACAAUAGUUGAUAACAAAAAUGCAUUGAAUUUC